AGGAAAAAUUUCUGACGGUACUUGAGGAAUAAGCCUCGGCUAACUCUGUGCCAGCAGCCGCGGUAAUACGGGGGAGGCAAAGCGUUUUUCCGGAAUUAUUGGGCGUAAAGGGUCCGCAGGUGGUCUGCCAAGUCUGCUGUCAAAUCAUGGUUGCUUAACGACCUAAAGGCGGUGGAAAACUGGCAGACUAGAGUGCGGUAGGGGUAGCGGGAAUUCCCAGUGUAGCGGUGAAAUGCGUAGAUAUUGGGAAGAACAUCGGUGGCGAAAGCGUGCUACUGGGCUG
rnacentral:rRNA from 1 species